rnacentral:rRNA from 1 species
AGCGAACGCUGGCGGCAGGCCUAACACAUGCAAGUGGAGCGACGAACCGGGCUUCGGCCCGGGGCAGAGCCGCGAACGGGUGAGUAACACGUGGGUAACCUACCCCGAUGACCGGGACAACCCGAGGAAACUCGGGCUAAUACCGGAUGUUCUCUGUUUUCAUAAGGAAUCAGAGCAAAGAUAGCUUCGGCCUUCGCAUCGGGAGGGGCCCGCGGCCCAUUAGCUUGUUGGUGGGGUAACGGCCUACCAAGGCUGCGAUGGGUAGCUGGUCUGAGAGGACGAUCAGCCACACUGGGACUGGGACACGGCCCGGACUCCUACGGGAGGCAGCAGUGGGGAAUCUUGCGCAAUGCGCUAAAGCGUGACGCAGCAACGCCGCGUGGGGGAAGAAGGCCUUCGGGUUGUAAACCCCUUUCAGUUGGGACGAAGCUUCGUCGGUUAAUAGCCGGCCGGAGUGACGGUACCUUCAGAAGAAGCCCCGGCUAACUACGUGCCAGCAGCCGCGGUAACAC